UGCCUACACUUCUUGUACUUACUUUUGAGAUUAAUGAGAAUUUGGUUUUCUAAAUGAGAAAAUAAUUCUCUCUUGAGAGUCAUUGGCUAGAGAGUCCAAAGACCUCUAGCCUCCUUCCAAAGCACACUUCAUUAUUUCAUUUUUCCAAUUACUCCACCGUGCUUCUCUCUCCUCCAAGGAGAUUCAUUACUCCACGCUGCACCAUUCAUCAGAAGCCACGCUUCUUGCGUCAGCGUCACCACCACAUCUUGUUCAAUUCUCGCAAGACGCGCCUUCAUCUAGUGAAACACAUCUCAUUUGCUCAGCUCUUUCGCGUCACUCCUCGAGACCUUCGUUCUCUCUCGAGAGCUCUCGUCAUCGCCAACCAUAUUUCCUUCACUGUAAGCUUCACUUUCUCUCCCAGUUCUUUCGUUAUUCUCCACAAAUUCCAUUUCUUGGCUUCUUCCACAUCACAGAAGCUUAAACCUAGGGCUUCCUCCUCCUUUUUCCAUUUUCCUUCAAAUUUCACCGAACAAAAGCCUUUCCACCGAUUGAUUUUCGAAUUCCACCGUUCAACCUUUGCUUCGACCCGAUUAAUCGGUUCGUUUGAGUCGUUUCACCAUUUCUAGGGUUUCCUUGGUCUAGGUUACAGAUCUCUGAGUUCCUUUCUCAGAUUUGGUUUGUCCUUCUCAGAUUUGCUUCGUUUCUUUCGACUACUCUCCGGUCAAAAGGUUAUACAUUAUUCCGCUGCGUCUUCUGUGUCGGAGAAGCUUCGAGGAGAUCUGGAUCGAGCUUGCGUCGCCUAUUGGUCAACUUCUCUCGGAGCAUCUUCUAUCAUGUGGUUCAGAGCAUCAGGUUGCGUCCAUGCUACAAGAGAUAAGUAUCUCUUCUCUGUCUCAUUUUCAUUUUUUUUUGUUCGGUUUGAUUUCUAGUUGUAAUGUUGAUUCGCGUUUUUGUUUCGUUCCUUGUUUCUGUUUCCGUCGUUUGAUACUGAGUAUCUAAUUGUGUUUCUUGCCAUUUUCGUGUUGUUCAUUAAUUUCCUUUAAUGUCUUGUGCUGAUUCAUGAUUGUUUUGUUUUCGAUUUGUUAUAAUAUGUGUUCGUUAGGUUUCUGUUUGAACUAAGUUUUUGUGUCAUAGCUUUGCUUUGUUUGUUCUUCUCAUUUUCAAUCGAAUCAAUCCAUAGCUGAGUCAUUUUAUUUUUGAUAAAUCUUUUCUGUAAUGUCAAGUCAUGUGCAUUGUUAUGCUUUGAUUCAUUUGUCAAUCAUCUCUGAUGUUAUGAGCAACAACUUGAAUUGGUGUGAGUCAAUU
rnacentral:lncRNA from 1 species